AUUGAACGCUGGCGGCAUGCCUUACACAUGCAAGUCGAACGGCAGCGCGGGAGCAAUCCUGGCGGCGAGUGGCGAACGGGUGAGUAAUAUAUCGGAACGUGCCCAGUAGUGGGGGAUAGCCCGGCGAAAGCCGGAUUAAUACCGCAUGAGACCUGAGGGUGAAAGCGGGGGGAUCGCAAGACCUCGCGCUACUGGAGCGGCCGAUAUCAGAUUAGCUAGUUGGUGGGGUAAAGGCCUACCAAGGCAACGAUCUGUAGUUGGUCUGAGAGGACGACCAGCCACACUGGGACUGAGACACGGCCCAGACUCCUACGGGAGGCAGCAGUGGGGAAUUUUGGACAAUGGGCGCAAGCCUGAUCCAGCAAUGCCGCGUGCAGGAAGAAGGCCUCGGGUUGUAACUAGCUUUGUUCUAGGGAAGG
rnacentral:rRNA from 1 species